AUUGAACGCUGGCGGCAUGCCUUACACAUGCAAGUCGAACGGCAGCACGGGAGCUUGCUCCUGGUGGCGAGUGGCGAACGGGUGAGUAAUACAUCGGAACGUACCCAGGAGUGGGGAAUAACGUAGCGAAAGUUACGCUAAUACCGCAUAUUCUGUGAGCAGGAAAGCGGGGGAUCGCAAGACCUCGCGCUCUUGGAGCGGCCGAUGUCGGAUUAGCUAGUUGGUGAGGUAAAAGCUCACCAAGGCGACGAUCCGUAGCAGGUCUGAGAGGAUGAUCUGCCACACUGGGACUGAGACACGGCCCAGACUCCUACGGGAGGCAGCAGUGGGGAAUUUUGGACAAUGGGGGCAACCCUGAUCCAGCCAUGCCGCGUGAGUGAAGAAGGCCUUCGGGUUGUAAAGCUCUUUCGGCGGGGAAGAAAUGGCAACGGCUAAUAUCCGUUGUUGAUGACGGUACCCGCAUAAGAAGCACCGGCUAACUACGUGCCAGCCGCCGCAGUAAAAC
rnacentral:rRNA from 1 species